CUUGCAAAUCGGAAGUGCUAAUCAUGGGCACGGAAGACGGAGGCAGCGCUCGCACCGCAGUGGACCAGCAAUAGCGCCAACCGCGGAAAGGCGGGAAUCACCUAAGACAAAUCAGAACAUCAGCAACCUUUGAGGACGAGCAAACAAGCAGGACUUCAAGGGCUCCAACCCUUGUGGAAGGGUUGGAAGAACUUUGGAUUGCUAGAGCCCUAUCAGACUGCUGGUUGGUAACCUCUGAAUGUUAGAGCUAACUUUGAUUCCACUAGGAGUCUAGUUAUAGGCUGCUGAGCUGAAUUUGCUUUGGACCAAUGGUGCACCAGCACUGGGGCUCCCCUACUAUGAGCUGAAAUCACAAAAGAGCUGAAGAGCUGAGAUCGCUGAGUGUUGUGUUAACUAGUGGGGGAGCCUGAAGCUAUAUUGCUAAGCAGCUGGCUGAGCAGCAAGCGGCACAGAGCCUCGCAGGGACGGUUGGAGCGUACCAAGGAACAGCGAGUGGAGCUGUUUGCGGGGACGGCUGGAGCGGCUCACAGGUCGGUGAGCGGAGUGGAGCAGCUCAUAGAGCCGAGCAGUUCUAAGGUGCCUCUUAACACCCUGCGUGCCCCCCUUUUACUCUGGAGCUGCACUGACCAGGGACAGAGACUUUGGGGGUUGUUGGACUUUUGGGACUUUGGGUGGCUGCUGGACCCAAGAGACUUUGGG